CCUACGGGAGGCAGCAGUGGGGAAUUUUUCGCAAUGGGGGCAACCCUGACGAAGCAAUGCCGCGUGGAUGAAGAAGGCCUUCGGGUUGUAAAGUCCUUUCGUGGGGGACGAAAAGGCGGACCCGAAUACGGUCUGCUAUUGACGUGAACCCAAGAAGAAGCACCGGCUAACUCCGUGCCAGCAGCCGCGGUAAUACGGAGGGUGCGAGCGUUAAUCGGAAUUACUGGGCGUAAAGGGCGCGUAGGCGGUGGGUUACGUCUGCCGUGAAAUCCCCGGGCUCAACCUGGGAAUGGCGGUGGGAACGGGCUGACUGGAGUAUGGGAGAGGGUGAUGGAAUUCCAGGUGUAGCGGUGAAAUGCGUAGAGAUCUGGAGGAACACCAGUGGCGAAGGCGGUCACCUGGCCCAAUACUGACGCUGAGGCGCGAAAGCGUGGGGAGCAAACAGGAUUAGAUACCUGGUAGUCCACGCCCUAAACGAUGGACACUGGAUGUUUGGCGCCUUAGGUGCUGAGUGUCGUAACUAACCGAUAAGUAUCCCGCCUUGGGAAGUACGGCGCAAGGGUUAAAACUCAAAGGAAUUUGACGG
rnacentral:rRNA from 1 species